UAACAAAUCGACCAAGCAUUCCGUUUGACGUUUAUGAAAAGUUAUGUCAUCGUGAUAAAAAGUUUGUUGUGGUUUUCCCGUGGUUGAAAAACAUGCGGUUUCCUCACAGUUUGUUUUUGGGACGAUGGCUAAAAGGACGAAGAUAUUUGUGUUCCGCUGUUGGAGAUUUUAUGACAUGCCGGGAAUUGUCGCCCGAAAUGAAACGUCGGAUGGAGCAGAAGUGGCACAACAAGCUAGGAGAUUCUCGGUUUGACCCGUCUGAUACGGCAAAGCCCAAGCGUUACGUGCUCGCAAUGUUCCCGUAUCCUUCCGGCAAUCUGCACAUGGGUCACGUCCGCGUGUACACAAUCAGUGACGCAAUGGCCCGGUUUUACCGGCUCAAUGGUGCUAACGUUCUGCAUCCGAUGGGUUGGGAUGCGUUCGGUUUACCGGCGGAAAACGCUGCCAUACAACGAAAAAUUCCAGCCGACACGUGGACCCAACGGAACAUAGGCGAGAUGCGCAAACAGCUAGAAAUGCUUGCGUUCAGCUUCGAUUGGGAGCGUGAAUUUGCGACCUGCCAACCUGAAUACUAUCGCUGGACGCAGCAGCUGUUUUUGAUGUUGUUUAAGGAUGGGCUAGCAUACCAGCGAGAAGCGCUUGUGAAUUGGGAUCCGGUCGAUCAAACGGUAUUGGCCGAUGAACAGGUGGACGAUAACGGUUGCUCUUGGCGUUCCGGGGCAAAGGUUGAGAAAAAGGUACUGCGACAAUGGUUUGUCAGGACGACAACAUUUGCCAAACCCCUGCUAGAGGGUCUAAGUGACCCUGAGCUGGAAGAUUGGAAGGAUAUCAUCAAGCUGCAGCGUCAUUGGAUCGGCGAGUGUGAGGGCUAUGCAUUCGAGUUUCCAAUAGUUGGAGAACAUCAAAUGAAGACUGUUUCCGUUUGGACCCGUGAGCCGGAGGAACUUAGAAAAGCCAUUUUUGUCGCCAUUCAUCCCGCCAAUCUUUUGAACAGUGCUAAAAACAACGAAAGCAAACUGGAAAAUGUCAUCGUAAAGAAUCCUUUUACCGAUGAUAUACUGCCGGUGAUCGUAACGGAACAAGUUCCCUUUCCGGAGGGAUGCGACACUUACCUAGCUGUUGAUAGUGAACAGAAUCGUAAACUAGCGGUUGCAAUUGGUUUGAAUUUAGAUACAGAAGCGAAAACAAAUGAUGAAAACAACGCUCCCGGCGAAGAUAUUCUUCAGCAAGCUCUCGCCAAAGGAAUCGGUGGUCAUCCGGUUAGUUCGAAGCUACGCGAUUGGCUCAUUUCACGACAACGGUUUUGGGGUACUCCGAUACCGAUUAUACAUUGUCCCAGUUGUGGAACAGUUCCGGUACCGGAGCACGACCUUCCCAUACAAUUGCCUACGGAUUCUGUUGGAGUUCCGUUGGAGCAGAACGAGCAAUGGCUAAGAGUGAAUUGUCCCUCCUGUCAGCGUACGGACUGUCGACGAGAAUCCGACACUAUGGACACGUUUGUCGAUAGUUCGUGGUACUUUUUGCGUUUCAUCGAUGCUCACAACAAAAAGCGGAUGUUUGAUCAAACGCUUGCCCAUCGGAUGAUGCCAGUCGAUCUUUACGUCGGAGGGAAGGAACACGCCGUGCUGCACCUUUACUACGCACGCUUCGUGGCCCAUUAUCUGCACAGCAAAGGGCUGCUACCCACACCGGAACCAUUUAAGCGCCUUCUCGUACAAGGCAUGGUAAUGGGUCGCUCGUAUCGUGUGGCUAGCAGUGGGAAGUACAUUCCGGUUGAAGAGGUUGAAGUGGUGGACGAGAAGCACAAUAAAGCGAUCGAACGGACGACAGGUGAACCGGUCUCGAUGCUGUGGGAAAAAAUGUCCAAAUCGAAGCUAAACGGUGUCGAUCCGUUAGAGGUUUUGAGGGAGCACGGAUGCGACACGUUACGACUGAUUCUGUUGGCUGAUGUGGCACCAACAUCCCAUCGUAAUUGGUCCGAAGCGACUUUUCCGGGAAUUUUAAACUGGCAGAAGCGACUUUGGAUGACGUUGCACGACUUCCGGGAACUACGGGCCAAAGUCAAUCCGGAAACUACUGAACCACCUGCAACGGAAGAGUUUAAGGAACAGGAACACAAGUUGUGGGACGCUCGUAAUUACUUUACGGCCGGUGCUACCUUCAACUACCGCCAUUCACAUCAGCUUAGUGUGGGCAUUUCGAAGAUGCAGGGCCUUACGAAUGCUAUCCGGCGUGCCACACCGGAUGUGGUCACGCACGGGCGACAGUACGAACGUGCCCUUGCCGCACAGAUUAUUAUGCUCGCCCCAAUGGCACCUCACUUCGCAGCGGAACUUUGGAACCAGCUUGUCACUGCACCGCACCGAGUAGACCGGCAAGAAUCGAACAAUUGUGGGCUGCGAUGGGACGGUACAGUGUUCGAUCAACGUUGGCCAGAAAUAGACGAGGAUUUUCCACUUGAUCUUACAUUUAAGAUAAAUGGUGCAGAAUGUUGCAUACUAAAAAUUCCGGCCAAGCGCUUCAAUCAGCUAACGCACCAGGAAUCGCUUGAUUUAGCACUACGUCAGGAACCGAUCGUGAAGUUGAUUGGAAAGCGACCACUUCGAACGAGCGAUUUCCUCCUAUAUCCCAGCUGCGAAGCUAUACUCAAUGUAGAUCUCGAUCGGGCCAUCCUCGAGGAGGAAGGACAAGACGGCCAACCAUCGGGCAAGAGUAAAAAGGAAAAGAAGGAUAAGAAAAUGAAGAAGAAAAAGUCACUACAGGUGCUCCACAUUGGGUAAGACGCCCAACUCGAUUUAGCCGCACCGGUGGAACAAUGUGAUAGGAAACAAAAACGCCGCAACGUACGAGGCCGCAUUUGAUCUGUACGGUGGAUCGGUAUGAGUUCGGUUGCUGUCCCGCUAUUGUACCGUGCUGUGAUAGUUGCUUCACGUGUUGAUGUCAGUUGAUCAGUUGGUCUAUCCUUCGGGUGUCCCGAAACGCUCGACAAUAUCUACAACAACAAAUGAACGUCGGGACGUAAUCAACGGUAGAAAGCAGUUCUCAAUCGGAAAAUGGUUAUUCGUGUAAGUUUCGCUCAGAACGAUAAUAAGCCAUGGUGGUGGGGAAUCCUUUCUAAUUCAAUGUACCGACUACCGAACCGAACAAUUCGUCCGAGGCCGACAAUGAAAUUGUUCGUGUGUAUGUAUUGGUAAUUUAGCCAUAGCCUAUCUAAACCAUGCUCUGAUUAGGAUUCGCGUCCAUACAUUACGUACCAGUUGGAGUUAGUUCCCCGGUCGCUCCCGGUAGCCCCAAGGUGGAUGAGUGAAAGCUUUGGCAGGAAAAACCCAGCUCCUUUCGUGCCGUCACGCCAAUGAUGGUCGGGUGUGUGAAACUGCACGUCAUAAAACUGUGACGUGCGUGCAUGUAGAAGGAAUGACAUGUGGGGGGAUGUAUACGGGGGAGCUAUGCAAACUUCCGAGCCAGUCUGCAAAGCCAGCCGUCUCAACUAUUCCACAUGAUGUUCGAGCCUGCCGUAUGGUGGUGCUUCCGGUCGUCUGAAUAGUUUCUCACAUUCCGCCACUGUGCUGGCGAUCGGAAUCGGUAAAGUUUUUUUUUGGUUUAUUUUUUGUUUCACUUACACCGCUCCGACUUGUUCGAUGGCGGGGGUGGGGGAGUGGCACCAUUCCCAAACAGAUCCUUACAGUCCCGGGUGUCUCUGGAAUUUCCGGCUUAAAAGUGUUACUUCCAAGUGCCAAAAGUUCGUUUAGAAAUGGGCAUGAAUGGUACGUAGGGAAGGAACAAGUGAAAAGCCGUUGGAAAAUCUGCAAAGUUUUCCACGUUUCUCCCCAUUUCCCCUUGUUAUCCAAGGAAUCGUUCUCAAUUCCACAUUCCUGAGAAGGUUGAACGAAGCUUGGGUAAGGUAGUGGCGUGGCAAAUUCGGCCUACAUUUUUGCCAUUUUCUAUCAUUAGCACUUGCGGCACUUAGUUUGGUACGGGGAUGAAAGCAAAAGGUGAGUGUUGUGUGGAGCUUGGCAAACAGUUUCCCACUUCCUUGCCCACAGUGGAAGCUAUUUUCGUGCCUACAGUAGGUGACGGUUUUUAUCUACAGGUGAUUUGUAUGGGAAACCCAUUUACAUCACAUUGUAUUGUUUUAUUUAUAAUGUUGCAUUUAUUCUAUGACUUUUUCUUUCCAUUUUUCAAGAGAAGUUCCAUUUGAAACAAAUGUUUUCAUUGUACGAGAAAAGAAAAAAAAUACUUAAAUAAUAAUAAUAGCAAAAAUCAAUGUCAUUUCCUAAUUAAAACAUGAAUUGUACCAUUUUCUGCCCCUAUUUCGGCACUGCUCUUCAUCAAGAGG